rnacentral:rRNA from 1 species
UAGGAAUCUGCCUGGUAGUGGGGGAUAACGUCCGGAAACGGGCGCUAAUACCGCAUACGUCCUGAGGGAGAAAGUGGGGGAUCUUUGGACCUCACGCUAAUAGAUGAGCCUAAGUCGGAUUAGCUAGUUGGUGGGGUAAAGGCCUACCAAGGCGACGAUCUGUAGCGGGUCUGAGAGGAUGAUCCGCCACACUGGGACUGAGACACGGCCCAGACUCCUACGGGAGGCAGCAGUGGGGAAUAUUGGACAAUGGGGGGAACCCUGAUCCAGCCAUGCCGCGUGUGUGAAGAAGGCCUUAUGGUUGUAAAGCACUUUAAGCGAGGAGGAGGCUCUUUUGGUUAAUACCCAAGAUGAGUGGACGUUACUCGCAGAAUAAGCACCGGCUAACUCUGUGCCAGCAGCCGCGGUAAUACAGAGGGUGCAAGCGUUAAUCGGAUUUACUGGGCGUAAAGCGCGCGUAGGCGGCCAAUUAAGUCAAAUGUGAAAUCCCCGAGCUUAACUUGGGAAUUGCAUUCGAUACUGGUUGGCUAGAGUGUGGGAGAGGAUGGUAGAAUUCCAGGUGUAGCGGUGAAAUGCGUAGAGAUCUGGAGGAAUACCGAUGGCGAAGGCAGCCAUCUGGCCUAACACUGACGCUGAGGUGCGAAAGCAUGGGGAGCAAACAGGAUUAGAUACCCUGGUAGUCCAUGCCGUAAACGAUGUCUACUAGCCGUUGGGGCCUUUG